rnacentral:rRNA from 3 species
GGCUCAGGAUGAACGCUGGCGGCGUGCCUAAUACAUGCAAGUCGAGCGAAUGGAUUAAGAGCUUGCUCUUAUGAAGUUAGCGGCGGACGGGUGAGUAACACGUGGGUAACCUACCCAUAAGACUGGGAUAACUCCGGGAAACCGGGGCUAAUACCGGAUAAUAUUUUGAACUGCAUAGUUCGAAAUUGAAAGGCGGCUUCGGCUGUCACUUAUGGAUGGACCCGCGUCGCAUUAGCUAGUUGGUGAGGUAACGGCUCACCAAGGCGACGAUGCGUAGCCGACCUGAGAGGGUGAUCGGCCACACUGGGACUGAGACACGGCCCAGACUCCUACGGGAGGCAGCAGUAGGGAAUCUUCCGCAAUGGACGAAAGUCUGACGGAGCAACGCCGCGUGAGUGAUGAAGGCUUUCGGGUCGUAAAACUCUGUUGUUAGGGAAGAACAAGUGCUAGUUGAAUAAGCUGGCACCUGAC